UCACAGGACCAUCAGUAACCAAAAAAAAACACAGAGAGCACAUCUCAAAUUUUAUUCCCUUUCUGCUCCAAAAAACCGAACCCAUCCAUCAACGAAAAACUACCAUCAACAUAAAUAAACAACAAAAUCAGCAACCUCAAAAAAAUCCAAAUUCAAACCAGCGAAUCCGCGACCAUACCCGUCUUCAAUCUGACCCACGAACCCAGAAAUCAAACCCGAAUCCCACGUCAAAAACAACUCAGCUCCAAACCAACCCAACCCCCAACCUGUUUCUUUUCAUCUUCGUCAAUUGCCCCACGCAGAUAUGGAGAAGAUGCCAAGAAUUCUCCAGAAGCGCUUAGGUGUCUCUCUAAUGGUUUGAUUCCGCAAAUCUCGGGUGAAAGGUACGAUUACAGUUGGUCCUAAUCCCUUUUAUGAAAAUUUAAAAUUAUUCCCUUCCAAAAAGGUUUAAAAAAGGGGGCCUCUUGAAUCAUUCUCCCACAGGGGGAUUAGUUAGAAUUUUUCUCCAAUCUGGUUCUAUAGGAGGAGCUCAUUUUGAAAAAAAAAAAAAAGAGCCUGAGAGUCCAAAAGAGGAAAAAGCUGUCUUGAGCAAAUCAGUAAAAUCUUUCCUUUUGGUUAAAAGUUUUAUUUUCGUAAAAGUCGCCGAUUAAUUGGCAUUUUCGAGUAAACGACUAUGAUGUUCUGUGAUGGUUGUGGGUCUGACUAUAGCUCGAGGUUCCAUUUUGCUGCCCCAAAAAUAGAUUUGGAGAGUCGAGAUUUCAUUGGUGAUUAUCGAGGUUCUUGGAGCGGCUCUUAUUUCACUUAUUAAAAUCAAUCGAAAGAUCUUGAGGUCCAUCUCUUUACUCCCGUACUUUCUUCUUUAUUCUAUUUUGUUGAAAUGGCUAUGAUUGUGUGUUAGGUGAUUGUAAUUGUUUGAUGUUGUUGAUAUUAUGAUCACGUGCUUGGUGAUGUGACUCCAGUGGUACGAUGUAAGAAUUUGAUUAGUUUUAAUGGUGCAAUUGAUUAAAAGGAAUUUUGGGGACGGGAAUCGAAAAUUAAUAAAAGUAAAUAUUAUGAUAUUUUUGAUACAUUGUUGAUGUUGAAUGCGGUAUGUUGUCGAGCGGGUAGGCAAACAGUAAGCUCGGGUAGGCAAGUUUAGGAUUGGUGUAAUGUGGGAAUGAUUGGAAUAUUUGUUGAAUGUUAUCGUAUUUGGAAAGUGUACUUAUUUGACCGGGGAAUGCCCCGAGGUAAUUUGUAUUUACUCACCGAGGAAUGCCCUAAAGAAUUUUGUACGCUAAGGAUGCUCGUGAUCAAGGCCCGAGGCGUCGGGUAAAGCAUGGUUUAGGACUAGUGUAGGUUAUUUCAGUAUUUUUAUUUCGGGUUGUAAUAAUUGGACUGGACUUUACAUUUUUGUCUUGUUUAGUUAUUGUUUGAUUAUUUUGCGUGUUUUGUGUGGUUUAUGCAUUUGUAACGUCAAUUUAGCCGAUACGCUCUGCCAAGCAACCGUGGUCAAACGACGGGAUCGAGGGGUGCCUAACACCUUCCCCUCAGUCAACAGAAUUCCUUAGCCGGAAUCUCUAUUCGCAAACCAUUUUAAGGAGUCAAAUAGUUUUGGAAAGGAUUUCAUAAUGGUGACUUGGCAUACCGGAUUAUUCCAAGUGGCGACUCUGAAUAAAUAAUAUAAAUAGUCUUUUUUCGAAAUAAAUUUUCAUCUUUGUCACUUAAAUAAUAAAACCCUUUCAAACCUAAAAAUACAUUUUUUGGAGUACGUAAAAAGGGGGUGUGACAAUCCCAGUAUGCUUCAAUCGUCGACCAAUUAAUACGAACUUUAUGGUCAAAAAAUCCACUCAUAUCAAGGUAAGUAGGUAAUAUUUUGGCCAGCUUUUGUAUCUCAGACGACGGCUCAAAAUGUUUUCUUCGUGACAUUGAGUCAUAAACUUGGAUGCGCCUCUCUUUUAGAAUGACGACAGCGAACACCCAAUGGAAUUCAUCACCACAAUUGAUUAGGAUGUACACUUUGUCGACCAAAUGCCAAGGUAAGCCAGCUGAGAUGCUAAAAUAUUUGAUGAUGUUGAUUAAGCAUUCAUCAUUUCGGAAAACUUCUGGUUGUUGUUGAUAAUACCUAUCAUAGGCAUUAUUGAUGUAAACUUUGUACAAACAAUUGUUUGUUAUGUAUUUGUAUUAUUCUUGUGUUUGCAACUGGCCUUCUUUUGGAGGUAGUAAAAAUGACAUCGAUGUGCUAUACAUAUUAUUAAAUAUUUUGGAUUAUGUGAUGAAAAAAUCAAUACGCAGAUGCAAUUAAAUAAAGUAUUAAUUAAUAGUAAUAUGUAUGACAUUUAAAACUCAUCAUUCCAGCAAGUUUGGGGCUGUGAAAUCAAAUAGAACCAAUUCUUUAUUUCGGGAUGUGCAACAACAAAGUCGAACGUAUCAAAACCAAGACUCGAUUCGUUCACUUUGUAGCACUCGUCAUUUUGUUUUCUACAUAAUAAUUUAUAUGUGUUAAUGUCAGGUUCAUACAAUAAGAAUUGUAUAACCCAAUAUCUAUAAAAUUGAUUUAUGUACCUACUGGUAUGAUGCUUUAAUAGCCCAUCGGCAAUCCAUUCUGAAUAGUAGUUGAUCAACUGUGUUAGUUUUUUUGGAGCCUCAUUUGAGAUGUUGAACCCUUCAAAUGAGUAAUUAUUCCGUUAUCCCAAACUACCAGGCUCUACUUUUUCUUCUUCUUUGGAAGCAGUUGAUGAAUUAUCAACUGUGAUAUUAUGCUCUUCAGCAGUAGCUUCUACUGUGACAUCCCCUUGGAAAGCCAGAAUUGUCAAUUCUAAGAAGAGAUAUACAAUAGAUUAUCCAUCUGUUGCAAUAGAUGAUUCUUAUAUUACAUUAGAUGGAUUAUCUAUUGGGAUAAAUUCGAACAGGUAAAUUAGAGCAGUACGAUAAUUUUGAACAGAUGACCCAUCUAUUGCAACAUAAGACCCAUCUAUUGAAAUAUAUAACGAAUUUGAUGCAACAGGUUAGACAACAAUUGCAACAGAUGUAUAUAUCUUUUUGAUAAUUUUCAGCAUAUGUAUCAUCUGUUGAAACAAAUAUGUGCCUGUUUAUUUUUUGGAACAGAUGAUGUACAUUCACCUUCUUUAGCUCAUGCUACUCUCCUAUGGCCCUUCAUACUGAACAUCGGUGCAAGACAAAGACAGAGGCGUUGCAAUCUUGCUUUUUUUUUUUUAUGUUUGAUGAUGCCUUGGAAGUGUCUUUCCUUCUC
rnacentral:lncRNA from 1 species